rnacentral:rRNA from 1 species
AAGUAGAGUGGCGAACGGGUUAGUAACGCGUGGGAACAUACACAGCACAGGGGGAUAACCAUUGGAAACGAUGGCUAAUACCGCAUACGCCCUAUUGGGGAAAGAUUUAUCGGUGUUGGAUUGGCCCGCGUUAGAUUAGCUAGUUGGUGGGGUAAUGGCUCACCAAGGCGACGAUUUAUAGCUGGUUUGAGAGGAUGAUCAGCAACACUGGAACUGAGACACGGUCCAGACUCCUACGGGAGGCAGCAGUCGGGAAUAUUGUGCAAUGGGGGCAACCCUGACACAGCCAUGCCGCGUGAGUGAAGAAGGCCUUAGGGUUGUAAAGCUCUUUCAGAUGUGAGGAUGAUGACGAUAGCAUCAGAAGAAGCUCCGGCUAACUUCGUGCCAGCAGCCGCGGUAAUACGAAGGGAGCUAGCGUUGUUCGGAAUUACUGGGCGUAAAGGGCGUGUAGGCGGAUUAUCAAGUUAGGGGUGAAAUCCCGGGGCUCAACCUCGGCACUGCCUUUAAGACUGAUAAUCUA